AAAGACCUUUGCACCAAUAAGAGUAUUUCUCAAAUUUAAGUACAUAGACGAAUGAUUUUAUAAAAAGGAAAAUGUUUCUAUUUACAUAAAGGUCAAAGGAUUCAAUUUAUCAAUAGACACCAUUGUGAAUGAUAGUUAAUUUAAGAAACUGCAAUCUUAGUAUUUAAACCUGUUUUCAAUUAAUGUAACCACAGCAAAUGAGAAGUUUAAUCAUUCUAAAUUAUAAAAUGUAUUUCUUGAAUUAUGACUGUUUUAAUCUUACUAGUUUUUUUUUCUUUUUUUUUUUGUCUACAGUUUAAAGAAGCACUUACUGUAGCAGUCUGGAUAGGCUAGGAUACACAAUGGAAAACUAAAUCUCAAGACCUCAAAAUAACAAGAGUAAAUGCCGUUUUGUCAAUGAAAGAGGGAUGCUUGCGAUGAUGUGAAGGAUGUCUGAGAAGAGGUGUAUUUCUGAAGGAAAGAAAGAACACAGCAUACUCCUUGGAUAAAUCUCAUUUUCUUCCUUGUUAAGCCUUUUUUUCCCAUUGCAUUCUCUACAAACCCCUGGCCCACUCUUUCCUCCUCUUUCUACUUCCUUCCUUUCUCACCUGUACCCCAAACUAUAUUUGUAAACUCUUGCAGUGUUACUUUUGCACAGGGCUUGAAAUAUUUAACACCUUUGUUUUUAAUACAUGAGAAAAAUAAGAUCUAUAGGAAAGGAAACAACUUAACCAGUUUGAACAGGUAAUUGAUAGACUACAGUCCUCUCUCAAAUGUUUACUAAUGACACAUAUGCAUGGAGAUGGGAAUGUAUACAUACACACACACACAUACACACACACACAAACACACGUAUUGACUGGUUGAAACAUGACAGUUCUCCAGUACCUGGGAAUUAAAGGAGGGUGCAUUAGCCAUCCCUACCUUUACCUCAAUAUCCAUUUUAGGAAGGAUUAGAAAUUAAUUUACAUGAUUGAACAUACCAAGGGCUUUGAAAGCAGAAAAAUAUGAAAUUCAGAUUUUUCACUUCUUCAUCCUGGAGGUUCAGUUUUCCCAACACUAAAAUGAGGAUAGUAACACCAAACAUGGGAAUUGUUGAAGUGAUCAGUGAAAUAGAUGCUGUAUUAUAGGCCUAGCUCAGUUUAUGCUCUUAUCUUAAGAUUCUCUCUCUGGAAACCAAACCACCCCUGGAAUGGGCUCUGGUGGUCCUUACAUGAACAUAAGGCAUGCAUAACCCCUUUGAUAUUGUGAGUGUUUCUCUGCAUAUGAGCAUUCUUUUCUUCAGGGAAAAGUUCCUAACUUUUAUUAGAUUCUCAAAGUUGUCUGUAUUUCCUAUUAUUUUAAGAAAACUGACUUAAAUAGAAGGUGUAAUUGCGAAUGUUAACAAUAAUAAUUACAAACACCAUAACAUUACUAAUAUUUCACUACAAACAAAUAAUAAUAGUAUUAUUAUUAAUAUUCAAUUAUCUGAACAUGAGCCAAAAUUGGUGGAUGAAUCACAUUUAAAUCAUCGGGUGCUUUGCUUUCACCAGGUAAAAAGUUCCAAUUUCUUCUUAUUACAUUAAAUCUUAAGAACCUAUUUCACUCUUAUCCACAAAAAGGAACUCAUUUCCCCUAGAAAGGCAGGCUAAUGAGGUCUGCUUAAUUUAUAGCUGGGUCCAUUUAUGUGGUGGUUUCAUUAACAAAGACAUCUAUUUAAUUCAAUAGAUUCCUACACGUGGUACACAUAGAAGACACUACUACCCCCAUUCACUCCCCAUCCAUUCAUUACCCUAAUGCUUCUGACACACACAAACAAACCUUGUUUUACAAAUUGCUUAGAGAUUUGAUUAUUGCAUCAUGCAUUUUGUUGUAACAAGAAAGGUGAUUUAAAAUCAUUAGUCCUAAAAUUUAGUCCUGUGUGUGCUUUGAAGUCAAGGGGAACAAUUUGUCAGCUGGUUGAUCUUUUGCUUCUAAAGCUAGUUAACUGAUCAAUCUAAUGUCAAAGGAACAGAGAUAAAUGGGAGACAUUUUACUAUGUAGAAAACGGUACAUGAAGAUAAAUCCAACACUGUGCUUUAUUUCAUCUGCAGUUAUCUUUGUAGUAAUUGCUUUGGAAGACUCAAGGUGCUCUUUGCACAUAGGGAGUGUUAGAAGCCUUUAAAUCAUCUGCAUAGACUAGUAGCUUCUUGCUGCGAAUCUUGCUUUGCUCCAUUUUUGGGUAGAGAGGACAAUAAUCUCCUACUAUAAAUGCAAAUUUGGCAAGGACCAAAGGUUGGGAUUCUUGACUAGUUGUUUAUUGAACAAUCAAUUCAUACAUUUCUGAAAUUUCUUGACAUGCUUGCAAAGUAGAUCCAUUCCUUAUUGAAUUCAUUUGAUUUUCACUAUGACCAUAAUGAUUAAACUAGUUCUGGAGUAAACGUUUCCUAAUGAACAGAUUUGGAUGUACCAGCUGUUCCAGUUAUCUCUGUACAAAACAACCCCCCCAACUAUCUGGCUUAAAACAAAAGACAUAUAUUUCAUAAUUUUGUAAAUCAAAAAUUGAAAUUGAGUGACAACAGCAAAGGAAACUUAAAAAUAUUUAGCCAUCAAUGAACUGUAGGGUCCAAUAUACCUUCAUUUACAUGUCUGGUACCUUGGAUGCAGGGAAUGAUUGGAAGGCUUGUCUAGUAGACUCAGCUGUGACUGCCAAUCAGAGUACCUCCAUUUGGCUUCUCCAACAAGAAGUAUCAGAUAAACUUCUUACUUGACAUCUCAGGGCUCUCAGAGAGUUCUAAAAGGCCAUACUGGAAGCUGCAACAGUUCUUAUCAGAGUAUCAGUUGCUACUAGGUCAAUUUAUGGACAAAUCACUCAGGUCAUCUCAGACUCAAGGUAAGAGAAACUAGACUCUACCUCAUAGAGAAGAGAAAAACACGGUAUCCAUAUCCUUCUUUAAUCUACCACUCCAGAACAUUUUGAUUCUAUACAAGACCCAUUAUCAAAUCAUUCUGCUGCCAUCACCUCAAGGUUUUAUAUGUUUUAGAAUGUUCAGCAAGACAGAUCAUGGUCAGGGUAAAAGAGCAGUAAUUGGUUAAGUAGCUAUUAUUCUGACAAGCUACAAAAGGGACUUGCAUUUUCUUAACUCUCAGAAAUUUUUUGUAUUUUUAGUAGAGACGGGGUUUCACCGAGAAACAUCUUCUUACUGAAAGUUAUGUGAACACCCAUUAGAAACCAGGGAGAGAGAUUUCAUUUCUUCCAGAGUAGGUUCAAUGCCUAGUUUUACCCUAUCAGAAUUUUGUCCGGGGCACUUAUCCAGUGACAAUUUUUUUUUCAUAAGAGCUAUUUUUCGUAAGACUGCCCAAAAUCUUAGGAAUGAUCCAAUUUUCCAGUAAUGACUAAUAUAUUAAGAUGCAUAUGAAGGCUCCUCUUUCAUUAUGAUAGUCACCCUCUCACCAUUGCCUACCGAAUACUGUCUCAACUCAUCGAACUGCCUGACUUUUCACAACGAAGCCUUUAAAGUUUAUUCAAAACUUCUCUCCUCACAUUCACCCUGUCCACCAGCGAGACCACCCCUCCCAUUGUCUCCAGAAUAAAUAUGGUGUUCCCACCUCUGGGAAAGUUAACAAUGACAAUUAUAUCAAUUGCUAAUAUUUGUUGAACACUUACAUCACUUGUUUGCUCUUUAGGCUACGUUGAUUGAUGUGAAUUGCAAUGGACACUCCGAUGCCGUUGGGAAGCACUUCUUGUCUGUUGUACUCAACACAAAGAACUGUCCACUCUUGAUAUUUUUUUUGUAAAAGCCUGUAUCAUGUCUUCCCAGACAAAUGUUCCAGGAAAGUAUGAGAUUUUGUCUCGUACUACUUGUUUUCACACACAAUGUCUCACACAGAGCAGGCACUCCACAAAUAAAUUACUAGUCCAGCAACCCUUUAUUACACAACUGUUACAUACUCCAUGCAAACAAGGAAAGCAAGUUAGAACAAAUGAAACACAACUUCAGGAAUAGUUUGUUGUUCAUUUGAAUUUGCUGAUAUUUUUAUGUUUGACUUUAGAGGAAUUUGAAUGAUUUAGGUCGGAAUUGCAUUUCUACAGCUGGCUGGCAGGACAACUUUGAACAGUCUACAGAGCUCCUAUUUUCCUCUCUCUGAAGUGAGGGUAACAACUGGUAAAAGUGUUGUAUGUCUAAAAUCACAAAAGUGAUGUAAAGCUUUACUUUUCAAAUUUUCUUGUGCUUAAAAAUCAUCUGGAAUCUUGUAAAAAGGGCUGUGGUCUAAAAGAAAGAGCCUGAGAUUCUGCAUUUCAGACAAGCUCCCAGAGAAGGUAAAUGAUGGCCCAUCGGCUACAGCUUGAGUAGCAAUGCUAUAAAGCACCUAAUAUUAAUACUCACUCUGAAAUGUUGUCCUCCCCUUCCUCCCUCCAUCUUCCUAUUUGAAAAUUCCAGGAGACAGAAAUGGAUUUUUAUUUACUCCAAACGUCCAGUCUGAUGGUCUCUCAAUUGUGUUCCUCGUUUAAAAUAGUGCGGCUCCUGCACUUUGUUUAACUCUGCUUGACAAUCAGUGAUUUGUGAUUCUGCUCUUUCCUGAGCAUGUUUAUAAAAUGACGACCUUGGGAUUGGAGUCUCUGCUGCCCAAAUGCAGGGAGCAGACUUUCUAUGGAAGAAUUGUGAAAGGUCAUUUUACCACUGUUUUUUUCUUUCUUCUUGUCUUUCUUUUUGUUUUUUUGCCUUGGCUUCAUAUGCUAAUGGAAUCAACAUCCCCAUUUGCUAUUUUAAUGUUUCUUAGAAAGCUUUAUCUCAGAAUUUCCUAUGGUUUGUAUGUGCAUUAGUCUUCUAGGUGAAUCAGAGGUUUCCUGCUAUAACACCAUGAGGUUUCUCAAUAGACCCUCUUGGCUCCUUGUUGAGUCUUUUGAAUGACUUUAUUAUAAUAAAGUUGACUUGGAGCCAGAGGAGGCAGAGCUCCAGUGUUGGGCUUUCUGUAGAAUUUUAUGGGUUUUUCUCAGAAGUUUAAUGCCAGUUUAAUGGAGUUUUAUAACUAUUAAUACUCUACCACUCCAGCUGCGCUAAGAAAUAUGUAACUAAACAAUAACUUGAAAUAGGUAAAUUCAUGAUUAAGUUGCACUAAAAACUAAUGCCUCUUGGCCAUAGUUCAUAAUUUCCAAAGGCACAUCAUUUAGAAUGAUUGGUAACUUUAGCCUUGUAACUCUUUCAAGGAGAAAGGCUGUGAGCUUAAAUCACUACAUUAAGCUGACAGUGAGGCUCAUAUUUUCUGAGCUAAAGAUAUAUUUUUAUGGCCACACAGUGGACUCUGUUUAUCACUCAUCAUAAACCAUAGGAAACCAUUUUUGUUUUAAAUUAGGUGCUUAGGCUUUUGUCCUGUAAUCUGUUUCUUUAUUUCCCCUUUUCACUUUUGUUGGUCCAUUUUCAACAACUCCCAAUCGUCUUCCGUUUCCUGAAAACAGCUCAUAUUUUAUAUCUCAGCUUCUUUAAAGGUAUUUCAUCCUAGUUGAGGUCACCUUAAUUUACACCUCAAAUUACAGUUCCAGAGCCAACUUCUUUGCUGCUGAUAUUGAGUAGUAAUCCUACUAAAGAGUCCAAUUUUAAAAUGAGGAACAGUCUUAUCCUACAAUGCCAGGCAUAAGAAGCCCAUGAAUUUUGCAUAUAUCUUUAGUACUUUAAUUUAUUGAAUUACAUUUCUCCACUUCUUUGAGCCACUUAGUCAAUUACACUUCAUUCUGCUGCCUCGUCUGGUUCUAGAAGCUGUCUGUUCACAAAGACCAUAACUAAGUCAGUUUUUCCCAGACGAGGCAACAGCCGCAAAUCAUCUGAAAGUGAAAUGACUGUGGAAUUUGAGGUUUAAUUGUUUUUAAGCCAUCUUGAUUAUGUUUAUUAAAAUAGAAGGUCUUGUCAAGUUAGACCUCUCUCUAUUUCUGUCUGUCUUUCUCCUCACCUCCCUCACUGACUUUUCAGCUCACUGAGGCCCAUCCUUUUAUUGCCUGAUUUUAUACAGUUGGAUGAGAAACACAUACUGGGCAGUGGCCACAGCCCCAUCAACUGAAAGGAAUAUGAUGGGAUCAGAAGUCCUCUUAAUGAAAAACUGUAUCUUUAAUUCCUGUGGAAUUUUAAAACAUGUGCAGUGCAAUCUAUAAAUGGCCAAAUAAAAAAAGAGCAAAUAAACAUAAGAUGUUACUGUGAUCUGGUAUAAAGCCUAUAUGGCAUAGCUGAGUUUCUACCCUGCCCUAACUCCACUUAUCUUGAAGAAAAAGGAUGCCUGUGAUCAAAAUUUUUCUUUGCAAACCAGACUAGCUGAAUUUCUACCCUGCUCUGACUCCACUUAUCUUGAAGAGAAAGGAUGCCUGUGAUCAAAAGUUUCCUUUGUAACCAGACCAGUUGAAACUGGUUAAAACCAAGAUAGCAGACCAAACGAUGUCAAAAGACUUUAGGCUUCAUUACGAUCUCAUUUCCAUGCUAAAUGACACUUCCAACAGUGCCAUGACAGUUGAUAUGUGCCAUGACAGCAACCAGAAUAAGCCAGAAAAGGACAAAAAGGAAGGCAGCACUCUGGUUCCAGGAAGUUCAUCACCUGUAUUAGUCUGUUUUCAUGCUGCUGAUAAAGACACACCAGAGACUGGGUAAUUUAUAAAGUAAAAGAGGUUUAAUGAACUUACAGUUCCAUGUGGCUGAGAAGGCUUCACAAUCAUGGUGGAGGGCGAGGGCGAAAGGCACUUCUUACAUGACAGCAGCUAGAUGGAGUUAAAGAGCCAAACAAAAGGGCUUUACCUUUAUAAACCCAUUACAGACUUAAUCACUACCAUGAGAACAGCAUGGGGAAAACUGCUCCCAUGAUUCAAUUAUCUCCCACUGGGUCCCUCCCACAACACGUGGGAAUUAUGGGAGCUACAAUUCAAGAUGAGAUUUGGGUGGGGACACAGCCAAACAAUAUCACCACCCAUUUCUGGAAAAAGACAUAGACAUUCUUCCUCUCAUGUUUAAUGUCCAACACCUUCAUCAGAAAACCCUAUAUUUUAACCCAUUCACUCCUCACUAGUCCAGGAGGAGUCAUGCUCCUGUUUCUCAGUUCCAUGGUGAUUGAGUAAAGCCUGCACUGCUUGACACUCACUUUCAGUUUUGUAUAUUGGCUUUCUGACACCAAACAGAGAGACCCCAUCCUUGGGGAGACCAGCUUUGUGGGUAACAGUUUAUCAUGUUUACAGUGAUUUUUUUUUUCGUAAUUUCUAGAACUGUUAAAAGAAAGCUUUAACACAAUAUCUUCUUACACAAUUGAAUAAGGAAAGUGGGCCUGCUCCUGAGCAUUGUAGGAGGUAAAACUCUAUGUUUUGCUCCUGAUUACUUUGGAGCUUUUUCUCACUCAGCUCUGUCUGCCUUUCUAUUGCCUUUAUUUGUUUACAUGCCUAACUUUAUCUUUCCA
rnacentral:lncRNA from 1 species